GAGCAAACAGGAUUAGAUACCCUGGUAGUCCACACCGUAAACGAUGGAUACUAGGAGUUGGCAAAAAUAUUGUCGGUUCCGCAGUUAACGCAUUAAGUAUCCCACCUGGGGAGUACGACCGCAAGGUUAAAACUCAAAGGAAUUGACGGGGGCCCGCACAAGCAGUGGAGUAUGUGGUUUAAUUCGAAGCAACGCGAAGAACCUUACCAGGGCUUGACAUAUACAGGAAUAUAUAAGAGAUUAUAUAGCUCUACGGAGUCUGUAUACAGGUGGUGCAUGGUUGUCGUCAGCUCGUGUCGUGAGAUGUUGGGUUAAGUCCCGUAACGAGCGCAACCCCUAUGGCUAGUUGCUAACAUUAAGUUGAGGACUCUAGCAAGACUGCCGUUGUUAAAACGGAGGAAGGUGGGGACGACGUCAAAUCAUCAUGCCCUUUAUGUCCUGGGCUACACACGUACUACAAUGGGUAAGACAGAGGGAAGCGAAAGUGCGAACUGGAGCAAAACCCUAAACUUAUUCUCAGUUCGGAUUGGAGUCUGAAAUUCGGCUCCAUGAAGCUGGAAUUGCUAGUAAUGGCAGGUCAGCAUACUGCCGUGAAUACGUUCCCGGGCCUUGUACACACCGCCCGUCACACCAUGAGAGUUAGAAAUACCCGAAGCUUGUGAGCUAACAGUUUAAUAUUGAGGCAGCAGUCGAAGGCAGAGCUAAUGAUUGGGGUGAAGUCGUAACAAGGUAGCCGUAGGAGAACCUGCGGCUG
rnacentral:rRNA from 1 species